UAUGGCAUCACUAUGGCAAUGCCAGGGCCAGCAUCGAGACACACCCCAAUCAGGGACAUGACGUGAGGAUGGUCAAAGUCCUGCAUCUUGUUCACCUCACACACCAUGCUCUGAACAUCCGACAAUGAGAACAGACCUGCAAGUACUGGAGAGCUUCAAUAUGGAAGCUGGAAUUUUGAUUGAGUCUGGGAUAGACUCAGCAAUCUCAACAAGUUCUGAUUCUGUGGGAAAUAUGUCCUCCCGUGUUCUCCUGUAAAUGAAUAAGAUAAUUGAACAGCUACGGACUAUACACUAUAAUUAUUACGUAUUAGCCACGAUUUCCAUCAUCUGUUCAUGCAUAGCAAUUGACACGGUCUUCCUCCAAUAGUUCCGAUAGACACAGACAAAAAUGGUCAGCAUUACACACACGAUCAUCACUAUAACCCCCAAUACACUCGGGAUGAUGAUCUCCAGUGGAACUGCAGCAGUCACAGGACCUGUGUAAGUCAGUUGCUGGUCCAAUACUUGAGAGAUGUUGCUCCCAACGUUCACCUGAAGGGACAGUAUAUAGCUUAUAUGCAGUUUAAUAGUCACUCACUUGAAUGACGGCUGAGUUUUCCCCUCCCGGGGGCUCCAAGGGGGCAAUACAGAUGAUUUCGUUUCCUCUCAAACUACUAGGUGUCGUAGUACACUCCUCCCCUCCCACGAUCACUCUUAUCUCACUGGUCUCUACUGAGUCAAGACUAUCACCCUGCAUGGAUAUAUAUACACACACGAUAACAGUAUAGUCAGUGUACUAGCUAAUAAUACAUACCACAAUGCGUAUGAGCGUCUCUGUGCCACUGGUGACCUCUUGAGAACUAUUUAGUCUAAAUUGAGAAGGAUCUGAUUGGACGCUGAUGAGGAGGUGUGCUUGUGUAAUGAGUGGGACAUCAUCAAACAGUAGGGCAUAGUCCAAUGGUGUGAGUGAGGUUGUUGUCAGACUAGGAGUCAAGCAUGUGAUGGUGGUAUGGUCCACAACACUGCAGUUGCUCCUCUGUAGGGGAGGGACACAAUAACGACACAACAUAUUCGACACAAGUACGUGGGGCGUCGUUCUCUGCAAAAAUGUCAAUCAAAAAGUUUGACCAUCGAAAUUACCGGCUAUAUAUAUGAUAGCUUACCAGUAUAUAUGAUAGCUUACCAGAGGAUCCCCCAUUGGCUGGUAUACCUCCAACACAUGCUGCUGUACUACGUCCAAGUCCAGUCCAGUAAAAGUCAGUGUGAUGCCUCCACUAGGAAUGGUGUUGCUAGGAAACACAGCAGUCACAUUAGGAUUGUUACGAUAACUGAAGACCACUCCUGGAUUGCUGACUCUGGCAGCAUCAAUGGAAACCACCACCAAAGCAGUGGAGGUGAGGUUUGCUGCUGAGGUAGUGCAACAAAUCUCUUGAGACUCGAUAGAUCUGCAGAAAAAAGUUUGAGCUUUGUGUUAUAUAGAGUAUCACUCACGAUAUUUUGCAGACGUAGUUUGACUCGCUGACCUCUAGAGAGACUCUAGUGUCCUCCUGGUUACCCACGUUCAGUGCAGACCCCCUCACAACUACUUUAGUUCCCCCGGCCAUGGGUCCAAAGGUCGGAGUCACACUGCUGACAGUAGGAUCCACCGUAGUGAAGGAGCCACCGUUUACAAUGGCUACUCUAGAGUCAAUGGUCAGAGAGAAGUCUUUUGACCCUUCUGUUAAAAAAUGUGUGGUCUCACAGACAAACUGGUGCCAUGGUAUGUAACCAGUGAUGAGGGGAGUGCAGGCCACGCCUCCUAAUGUAAGAAUGGAGUUCUGAACGUCGAUAAAAGUUCCUCCGAAGUCAGUACCCCUCAAAGUGAUUGCUGUACCACCCUCAACUGGUCCUGAGGAUUGAGUAUGUAUAAAUUUUGUAUGUCCUCGAUAAAUAGUGAGUUAAGCAUACUUACUAUAAGCUCAUGAAGUUGAAAAGGCUUAGUAAUGCAAGUAUGAUAGAUCUAUACACUAUACAUAUGACAAUCACAUGCUGUAUGUACGCAUAAUGAUAGGUACGUAUAUUACGCUCACUGCAUUCUUACCCGACAUUGGAGUGAAUGAGUUGAUGACAGGGGCAGGAGGAUUUAUCCCCUCAGUAAUGAAAGUAUUGGAGCACUCUUGCAUCACCUCACAACUACCUCCACACCACCCACAUGCGAACUCUGACCCCAUUCUGACUGCAAUACAUUCCAAAUAUCCACUGGCCAAGUCACGACAAUCAUACAACGUCACUGUGUGUGUGGGUGUGGGGUGAACUAGUAGAUUGUCUAGACUAUCUGGAAGUGUCUAUCCACAUUAUUCAAAUAAUCAUGGUUGGCAGAUAAUUAUAAUGGUUACCAUAACAACCACAGGGAAACUUCCAACACCAGGAGAAAGUGUGCCGAACUACAAAUUUUCAGGAUGUUAAUUCAAUUAUACUUGCAUGCUAUUAUUUAAUUAGGACAAGUAGAUCUACAUGACUGUGUGCAUUAUUUAAUACUGAUUGUGUUUGUGUCUGUUCCAGCUGUAACUAUUUAAUGAUGCAACAAAAACUAAUAGCUUCUUCUAGCCAUUUUUAUCUUAGCUUGAUGUCAGAAACAUGCAGCAGCCAUUCAAUGAGACUAAGCUCCUCUUUCAUAACACUGUAUUAUACUCUUGCUCUAAUUUGUUUUUUGAAUAUAUUAUUAUAGAACACUUAUUUUAAAAAACUAUGCAUUACUUUACAAACUAAUGUCCUAUUCUA